CCUUCUCGAGGCCGGUGCUUGACUGGAGGAGGGCUGGCAGCAGAAGUGCAGCUGACCGGGUUGCGUUUUCGUACGGCUGACUAAAGCGGAUACCGGUGGCGACUCAUUUCUCGUUUUAUUUUUCAACGAUUUGGCGGAGAAGCUCCUCUUGUGAAUGGACUUUGGAUUUCUUGGAGCUGCGCUGCGGGUCCCACAGUGUGGCUUUCGGCCCGUGCUGUGCUGGCGCCUGCACUUCCUCUGGCGGGGCACGGGGUGGCGCUCCCUGGUAAAGCAGCGGCCAGGGGGAGCCGUGAGUGAGGCGCUGCCUCUCCCGCUGAAGCGGGUUCCAAGGCCACCGUGAGGGGGACCAUCCAUCCAGCUCCUUCUGGCCGGCAGCAGGAAGAGUGGCCCUGUGUGUGCCAGGCCCUGCAGUCUCUCCUCUCAGCUGGUGUCUCCAGUGAGGGACCUGAGUCAUCGCACACAUGAGCCUGUGCUCAGCCUGCACAUCUCCCGCCUCCCACCAGCUGCUCCUCAACUGCCAGGGCCAGACUGUGGCAAAAUCUCACUCCUCUGCCGAUGCUGGGGUUUCCCUCGUGUCUGGGAGGUGGUGUGCUUGGUGGCCUGAGCACUGCAGUGAAUCCAUGUUUCCCUCCCAGCACCCUGUUCUGUCCUCCAACUUGGCCGACAGCUCUGGCCAGGGACGCAGCCCAGCUGGUGCCCACCCCGCACUCUGUCCAUUUCAUAAGAGCCCUUGGUUUCCUCACUUCCCUCAGAUUUUGCCAAGAGAAUGGUCCUGGUGUGGCCCAGAAAGGCCAGCGGGGUGCAGCCUGGGACUGAAAGCAGAGGCGGCUCUGGUGGGGAAAAAGUAGCUCUCCCAGCCUAGCCCUACUGGUGGGCGGCACCUCCUGGCUCCAGGCCAUCUUUUGUCCCAGUCCUAGGUAAGAAAAACACAAACAAAAGCCAGUCCCAUGGCACUCGAGAAGCAGGAGGCCGUUCCCUGACAGCAACAUGCUGUGUGCACAGACACACGGGUGGACAGGAGGCAGAGCUCGGGGUUGCUGCGGAGCGGGCAGGACACUGGAGCGGCAGGCAGUGCGGACCCGCCGGGCAGCCGUGCACGGUUGUCGUCCUCAGCGGCAGGAGCCAGUUUGUUGCUCAGGGCCUUGUCUUUUUACAAAGAGCCCCAGGCCCCGGGGGCUUCUCUGGGUGCCUCUUUGCUGCCAUGUCUGCACGCGGGCGGAGAGCAGACCAGGCUACCGACCCUCUCGCUUUGCUGUCUUCACGUGGAAAAGCCAGUGUCGUAGCCCCAAAGGAGGGGAAACUGUAUUGAUUUGGGGAGCCUCUAUGUUGAUUUCAAAACA
rnacentral:lncRNA from 1 species